rnacentral:rRNA from 1 species
GACGAACGCUGGCGGCGUGCUUAACACAUGCAAGUCGAACGGAAAGGCCCUGCUUUUGUGGGGUGCUCGAGUGGCGAACGGGUGAGUAACACGUGAGUAACCUGCCCUUGACUUUGGGAUAACUUCAGGAAACUGGGGCUAAUACCGGAUAGGAGCUCCUGCUGCAUGGUGGGGGUUGGAAAGUUUCGGCGGUUGGGGAUGGACUCGCGGCUUAUCCGCUUGUUGGUGGGGUAGUGGCUUACCAAGGCUUUGACGGGUAGCCGGCCUGAGAGGGUGACCGGCCACAUUGGGACUGAGAUACGGCCCAGACUCCUACGGGAGGCAGCAGUGGGGAAUAUUGCACAAUGGGCGGAGUCCUUAUGCAGCAACGCCGCGUGCGGGAUGACGGCCUUCGGGUUGUAAACCGCUUUCGCCUGUGACGAAGCGUGAGUGACGGUAAUGGGUAAAGAAGCACCGGCUAACUACGUG